rnacentral:rRNA from 1 species
UACGGAGGGGGCUAGCGUUGUUCGGAAUACUGGGCGUAAAGCGUCCGCAGGCGGAUAUUUAAGUUAGAGGUGAAAUCCCGGGGCUCAACCCCGGAACUGCCUUUAAAACUGGGUAUCUAGAGUUAUGGAGAGGUAAGUGGAAUUCCUAGUGUAGAGGUGAAAUUCGUAGAUAUUAGGAGGAACACCAGAGGCGAAGGCGGCUUACUGGACAUUAACUGACGCUGAGGGACGAAAGUGUGGGUAGCAAACG